AUCAGAGUACUUUAUUACAUAGCGAAAGUCUUACAAAAUAAAAGAUAAAUAUAACAGGAUCUAAAAUCUAUCCUUGGCGCCAGAAAGUCAACUUGGAGACGCCACCUAGAUCGAAUCGAACUCCUCGAUAAUUGGCUCCACUUGAACCACCUGUUCUUCUCCUGUGGGGGUGUGAGACAGCAAGAGUGAGCUCACAUACGUUCAUAGCUCAACAAGUCGUAGGGAAUAAUGUGCAUGAACUCACCAAAGGUGGGAGUUCAUGUGAAGUGUAAGGCUGAUCAACAAAAUAGAGGCUGAGGCUGAGCGUUGCUUUUAUAAGUUGGUCAAAAUUUUAUUAGCAAUUACUAAGUGUAAGUAAAUACCAAACCUUAAUAAUAAUAAAGAAAAGUAAUAGUAAAAUAAUCCCAAAUGUGAUGCAAAUGUCAAAUUAGAUUUAAGUUCCAUAAAUUAACCAUGUGAGGGUUCGAGCUGCUCAUGACCGUGAGCACGGCUAGUAUACCAGUUUUACACUCUGCAGAGGUUGCACAUCUUUACCCACAAGUCAUGUUACCCAUCUGCCAAGAGAUGGCCAAUCCCAUACACCUCUACCGAGGAGGCGAGGCAGGGUAACACUACGAGGCCUUUACAAAGUUCCACUAGCUUCAGAAAUCCUGCUACAGUUUAUAGGAAGCUCCAGUGCAGGAAUCCCUCGCCUGACCUCCAUCGCAGCAAAAUCAACCCAAGGACCUCCCUACACUAACCACUCUCCUACUGCCCUUGCCCCUUUCGGGUAAGGAAGACAUCCACUAGCUUUCCUAGUUAAUCAGCCAAGGGCAUCCCAUUAUACCCUUGUGGUAGCACUAUUUUCCCGGGUGGUCGCUCCAUGUUCCCAUAAACAUAAUGAUCUUAACAUGAGCAGUAAUAAUAAAAAGAUAAUAAAAGUUUAAUUAUGAAUAAAGUAUCUCCAUACCCAAAUCCACAUAAAGCAAUAGCAGGUACUACCCAAAAAAUAUUUCAGUGGUAAACAAGGUAUAAAGAUAUCAAAACUGGGGUAACCUAUUGGGUCCCAUCAAAAUUAACCUAUGCAGAUCAUUAUAAUUAAUAAGAACAUGGCUAGAAAAAAGUAAGUGAUCAAGGGCACAACUUGCCUUCAAUGAGCUCCUGCUCAGCUACUUCUACUUGCUGAACCUCAGAAUCCACAGUGGCUUGCUCGUCUACUCGCAUCAACACAAUACAUACAUAGUAUAAAAAAAUUAACAUUGCACCAAACAUGUGAAUAAAAUACACCAUAAAAAUCUACACAUUAAAAUAAGAACCUAGGAACAGGAAUCAUUAAUUUUGGAGUUAUAGAUUUUAAGAUAUGAAUUUCCAAAGGUUUUAUGUGCUUAAGAUAGGAUUAAAUGAGAAAUUAAUUUUCUUACUGUUUUCAUGUCAAAACAGAGACACUAGAUGAUGAACAAUAAUAUUACAAAAUUAUAGGAACUGCAAUGAACUAAAAAUGAUUUAAUAUGAAUUUUCUAUGAUCUGUACAAGUUUCUACCAUUAUUUUUGUAUUAAAAAUGAAUUUAGAACGAAUUUCUAUGAUUUUAUUUGUUAUCUGGACUGCACGCAAUAAUACAACGAUCUGCAGGGUGCUAUCUAUAAAAUCCAGGGCCUCAGUGUAAGGUUCUUUCAACUGCUUGGGACUGCGGGUUGAUUUGUUAAAACGACAGGGACUCUUUAGUGAUUAUGUCAGGCCGAAGGGGUAUCCUUUGCUACGAGCCACCUAGAUUAGAUCCAACGGCGCAAAACUUACGAAGACCAGAUCCGAUCACGACCGCAUACCCGCGAUCCAACGACACAAAUGCAACCGGUGAAAGGGUAUUUCUUGAUCUAAUCUCGCCCAUCCGUAUCCGAUCCGGCGGUCGCGGAUCACCCAACCCGAAUCGAUACACUGGGCGCCAUCGCAGCUGUUCGCGCCCGAAUCAACGGUGUACGCUACCCUAACUUUGACCGAGAGCCUGAGCUCGCCGGACCACGGCGGCGACGCCCGCACUAGCGGUGGUGGCCGGCCGGGGAGUAACCAAAGUGGCACCAGAGCCAACCCCUAUACGACAAACUAGCCUAAAACGAAGGUAAGAUCGCAGGGAAUACUAUGAACGAGGUCUUACCACCUAUCGGCACGUCGGUGUCGCUGGCCACGACGAGACGCGGCUCCGCCGCGGACGCGAAACUCCAACGAGGAAUUUCAC
rnacentral:lncRNA from 1 species